rnacentral:lncRNA from 1 species
AACACUUCCUUCUACAUCGGGCGCCGUCGCCUCAACUGCGCGUGGGGGGCGAGGCGCCCACCCCGCACAAGAACAGAGGAGCGGGGGAGAAGAGACGGCCUCGCUGCUCACUGGGCCCCUUUGUGUGACUAAAUUUGGCAAGAAUAUGGAUCUGAGCCAGUCUUUCCACGUGUGCUCCCAGCUCCCAGCUGAGAAGGCCAAGGGUUCUCUUCCGGGAAAACCAGUUUGGCUAUUAAGGGAACCUGUCGACACAGAGCAGAGCAAGAUAAGGCCAGGUUUCAGAAAGAAUAGCUGUUUACCAUCAAAGCAACUGGGUUCCACACAGACAUGGUAUAUUAUACACAAAGACGAAGGUAAAUGCUCCAUGGUUUUUAUGAAUAAUUUACUGUGCUUACAUAAAUGCACUAGAGCCUCUAGAAUUCUUACUGAUCAUAUUACUUUCCUUUCUAUUGUUAAAAAAAUAGCUAACUCAUCAAAUGUAAUUUUAAAAGUCAGUUUUCUGGAUUCCCCCUCCCUCUCCCUCAUAACCUGAUGCUUCUGGUGUGUCAACACCUGUAUAUCAGAGGGGAAUGAUUUUUUCCAUGUGAUAAGUGCCAUUUUGGUGAUGCAUAUAAUGAAAGUUUACUAGAUUUUCAUUUAUCAAAGUGUCUUUCUCUGCUCAGUUUCAAAAAGCAGGAAUUUUACUUGGAGUGAUAUAUUUCUUGGGUUAAUUUAUAUUUUAUAAAUAUAUGAAAUUAUUAAUUCAUUCUAUCUGUAGCAUGUGUGGACCCUGAAGCUUAUGGCAGUGCCGUUAUCUGUUGUAGGGAUGCAAACAUGCUCUUUGAUGUGUUAUUCUUGGGGACUUGGGAGGAUAAAGAUGGAAUACUCAUUUGGCCCAACUCUCCAGAUGGGCUGAAAAUGCAGCAGUGGUUUAUGUGCAUUUCCACAGAUCAAGGUUGUAACUUUCUACUCUGUACUAUGUUGUAGAUAACAGGAAACUUCAGGAAGUAGCAGUCUCAGCUGAUUUUGCUCCUGCCUGUCUAGGAUGGGGCAAUGGGCAUCACCAGCACACAAACGUGCCUUCUGGCACAUGCUUGCCUCAGUAAAGUGCCUGCACGUUCACUCUGUCAUGUGGAGUAUCCUACCCUGGAAAGAUGUCAAAAGUAAAUCAUCAUCAUCCUCAUGUACAAUACCAACAUAUCCUAAAUCCUGUUCUAAGUGCUUUAUUUAUAUUAACUAUCUUGUUCUGGUUUUGUUUUUGUUCUUUUUUUUUU